rnacentral:rRNA from 1 species
ACAGCAAAAUCAAAUGAGCAUUAUUGGUUUUAAAGUAAUUAAUAUUAUUUUUAAUAUAAUAAUUGGAGUAAUUUAGGGUGAAAUUUAUAUUAUUUUGAGGUGUUAUAUGAGUAUUAAUAGUAUGAUUUUUGUGAAAUUAAAGAUAUAAACUAGGAUUAGAUACCCUAUUAUUUUUAUUGUAAAUUUUUAUGCUAGAGUAUUAAUAGAUAUGAUCUUUAAACUUAAAGAAUUUGACGGUUUUAUAGUCUAUUUAGAGGAAUCUGUUAUGUAAUCGAUAAUCCACGUUGAACCUUACUUAUAUUAAGUUUUUGUAUACCGCUGUUUAAGAAAAUACUUUCAGGUAAUUUUCUGGAAAUGUUAUUAAUUAAUAUUUCAAGUCAAGGUGCAGUUAUAUAUAAGUUGAAUAAUGGAUUACAAUAAAUUUUAUUUAUAAUAUGGAUUAUUAUUGAAAUUAUAAUUUGAAGGUGGAUUUAAUUGUAAUUUUAUGAAGAUUAAUAAAAUGAUCAUAGCUCUAUAAUGUGUACACAUCGCCCGUCACUCUCGUUUUAAGACGAGAUAAGUCGUAACAAAGUAGGUGUAUCGGAAGAUGUACCUAGAAUGGUUU